rnacentral:rRNA from 1 species
UACCCGCAGCACGAGUGGUGGUCAUUAUUAUUGGGCCUAAAGCGUCCGUAGCUGGCUUGUUAGAUGCCUGGGUAAAUCGAAUCGCUCAACGGUUCGAAUUCCGGGUAGACCGGCAAGCUCGAGACCGGGAGAGGUGUAGGCUACUCGAGGGGUAGGGGUAAAAUCCUGUAAUCCUUCGGGGAGGACCAGUGGCGAAGGCGCUACACUUGAACGGCUCUGACAGUGAGGGACGAAGCCCUGGGGCGCAAACCGG